AGUGGGGGCGGGGCGGCAAUUCAUUCAUUAGCUUGCAAAGUAGUCUGAGCCUGACGUGCUGAUAGUAAACAAAACUACAACAAACUCCACCAGCUCCCACAGGGAAAUGGUUCCUUAAACGAGCAGCCACCAAGGGUGAGCAUUCCAUUUAAAAUAAAUAAAUAUAUUUAUUUCCACCGUAUCAAAGCUGCUCGGGGCUCCACCCAACUCCAAGGCAGCAGAGAUCCUGAGUUUCCCGGAAAUCCGAAUUUCCUGGAAAGGGAACACGCCCAUUUGCAGGCGGAAAAGAGAGAAAACGAAACCAGCUCUCUCUUCCUGGCGAAGCAAGCAUGGCUGCUUUUGAGGGUCCCGUGCGGGAUCUCUGCGAGGAAGCCACUUGCUCCAUUUGCCUGGAUUAUUUCAGAGAUCCAGUGAUCAUUCAUGAGUGCGGGCACAACUUCUGCCGAUCCUGCCUGAUCCAGUGCUGGGAGAAAUCCAAGGGAGAGGCUUCCUGCCCUCAGUGCAGGGGAAAUGUUGAUCAAAGCAGCAUCGGGGGAAACCAGCAGCUUGCAAAUUUUGUAGAAAUAACUAAGAAAUUCAGCCAUCUGUGGGGGAAACAGCAGGGGGAAGGAAAGGGGAUGGUCUGCGAGAAGCACCAGGAGCCCCUGAAGCUCUUCUGCAAGGAGGACCAAAGCCCCAUCUGUCUGGUGUGUAAUGUAUCCAAGGAGCACAAAAGCCACGAGGUGGUUCCUUUGGAGGAGGCGUCCCAGGAGUACAAGGAUCAGAUCAGCAGCUGCCUAGACAAUGUGAGGAAUGAGAGAGAGAAAAUUCUAGUAUUUAAAGCAAACACAGAAAAGGAAAGCCAGGACCUGCUUAAACAAACAGGUGCAGAGAGGGAAAAGAUGGUGGCUGAGUUCAGGCGACUGCACCAGUUUCUGGAAGAACAAGAGAAACUUCUUUUGGCCCAGAUGGCGGAAGUGGAGAAGAAGAUUGCAGCCAAAAGGGAGGAGCACCUGGCCAGACUCUCCAAGGAACUCUCCUCUCUUGACAGCCUCAUCCGGGAGAUGGAGGAGAAGCUUCAGGAACCAGCGAGGGAACUCCUGCAGGAUAUUGGAAGCUUCUUGCAGAGGUCUCAGGAGAAGGAGAACUUAGAGGAUCCUCCUGUGGCUUUUCCUCCUGACCUGAAGUGGAAGAUCUGGGACUUCUGUGAUAUUAAUCCCUUCCUGGAGGGAGUCAUGAAGAAAUUCAGAGACACUGUGGAAUAUGGACUUCAGCUGCAAAAAGAAAACGUAACUUUGGAUCCAGACACAGCACAUCCCCUCCUCAUCCUGUCUGAGGAUCGAAAGAGUGUGAGAGAGGGAGAAGUGCGUCAAGACCUGCCAGACAACCCUGAGAGAUUUGACACAGAUGGCGAUGUGCUGGGAUGUGAAGGUUUCCCAGCAGGCAGACAUUUCUGGGAGGUCACUGUGGGAAAAGAGGAGGGGUGGGGGGUGGGGGUGGCCAGAAAGUCUGUGAAGAGGAAGGGCGUUUUGUAUUUUAAUACUACGGAAGGGAUCUGGGGUUUGGGGAAGUGGGACGGUGUGUACAAGUUAUGCUCCCCCCUUGAGGCCCCUGUUCCAAGUGAGGAGCCCGAGAGGAUCCGAGUGACCCUGAACUGUGAAGGGGGACGGGUGUCCUUUUACGAUGCAGAUACAGCAGCCCUUCUCCAUGCAGAUACAGCAGCCCCCUUCUCAGGAGAGACCCUCCAGCCCUACUUUUUCGUGAAGGAGAAAGGGAACCUGAGACUCUAUUGACUGAAGGUGCAGACAGACAAGCAUAUAUUCACUGUCAUUAUUACAUAUUCAGUCUCCUCUUCAGGACUGAGCUGACAGGCACUUAAGAAGAAACCUUAUUUGCAGAACUGUGAUUGGCCAUCCCUUGUGUCAAUCAUGAUGCAACUCUCCCUUCUCAGGCCAGCUUUGUAAAUGACACUGAUGGAUUGGGUCCCCUGUCAGUCCCCAAACUUGCCUGUUUUCUCUCCCUUGGGAAUGGGCUAUUUGUGUCAGUGCAGGAGGUGCAAAGGGGGAAAGAAGCAAGAAAAUGAUUUAGGAAACAACAGCACCCCCUUCCCACAUUUCUGUUUCAAUAUAGUUCUCUCUCCAUCCUCCAACUCUGACUUAAAAUUUCUAGAGACAAUACCACCAUCUUUUCUGAAUACAAUCAGAAUUAUGCACGGGCAUCACUUAAAACCUUCCUCAGCCUCAAUCCUGCUCUCAGAUUCCCUUUUUCCUCCCUCAAAAUCUCCACUAGACAUGGAGAUGGAAGUUCCAAAGCCGCUUUUUUGAGACUACUGAGGGAAGCUUAUGUGGUAAUUCAGCAAAAUCUCCAUUUCCAAAGAGAUCAGUUUGCAAGUGGAGUACAGUCGGCCCAAAAUUCAUGCACAACUUACAUGAUCGCAGCUUAGAACCCUUCGUCGAAACACAAAUUAAUAAAUAGAAAGAGGGAGAGAGACCGGGAAGAACUGUUGGAAGGGGCUGUGUGAGUCUCCAGAGCCCGGAAAGCAAUGGGGGGGUGGCUUUGGCAGUAGGAGAAAGAGUUUCUAAGUCCCCCUUGAUUCCCGGCAUCUAGAAAGGUUGCAUAAAGCUCUCAAGAUCUCUGGCUUUAAACAAGUAGGAUUGGUUGCUUGGGGAGCAUUUUUGGGGGUCUUCCUGACUUGCACAAUAUUGCCUUUGCAUUCUGACCCCAGAAACGUAACCCCCCACGCAGGUUUUGGGCCUUGAUGUAACAAAAUCCCAUCUGACAGUGAAGAGCCUCUGUCAGAAGUUCUGAGGAGAGAACAGUGACAAUCUAGAGGAUUUCAGGAGGGAGUGGUAAAUUCCCAUGUAUACAAUUAUUUUCUCCAAGGUGCUUUGUAGUGAGCAGUCAGAUACAUAUCUGUAUUUUUAGAG